rnacentral:rRNA from 1 species
AACGAACGCUGGCGGCAGGCUUAACACAUGCAAGUCGAACGCCCCGCAAGGGGAGUGGCGCACGGGUGAGUAACGCGUGGGGAUCUGCCCUUUAGUUCGGAACAACACCGGGAAACUGGUGCUAAUACCGGAUAUUCCACUUUGCCUUGGCGGCAGAAUGGGAAAGAUUUAUCGCUAAAGGAUGAACCCGCGUAUGAUUAGCUAGUUGGUGGGGUAAAAGCCUACCAAGGCGACGAUCAUUAGCUGGUCUGAGAGGACGAUCAGCCACACUGGAACUGAGACACGGUCCAGACUCCUACGGGAGGCAGCAGUGGGGAAUAUUGGACAAUGGGCGAAAGCCUGAUCCAGCCAUGCCGCGUGAGUGAUGAAGGCCUUCGGGUUGUAAAGCUCUUUUAGAUGGGAAGAUUAUGACGGUACCAUCAGAAUAAGCCCCGGCUAACUUCGUGCCAGCAGCCGCCGUAA